AUUUCAUCAGCUUAUAUAAUGUAUGCUAAAUUUAAAUUAAUUCAAAAACAUUAAAUAUCAUUAAUAAUGCAAUAAUAAUAUUUUUAACUAUGCCCUCUUCAUGUUUAAAAAGAUUAAUUCAUAAAUAUGAAAUAAAUAGAAUCUCACAAGAAGAGAUAAGAGACUUCAAGCAACAAACACAACCCAAUCAGCAGGAAUGUUACUUAACAGUACCAGAUAACCUAAAGAAGUUUAGUUUUGUGAAUAGGCUGGCUAAGAAAGUAAAUAAAAGAGUCAUGACAUUGAGAGAACCUACAAAAUUCAAC
rnacentral:lncRNA from 1 species